ensembl:lncRNA
CUGGCUUAAAGAACUGGGGGAAACAGCUCGUUGGCAGAUAGUCGGCGAUUAGAGCCUCGGCCCAAAGCCAGUAUGAAGCAAGAAAGCUAGUCCCAGAUUAAAAACAAGGAGCUGGAAGUGAGCAGGAUAUCGUGCUUUAACUUUGUGUGGCACUUCUUCUGCAGUCUGAGGGUUGAGAGUGCCAGUCUAUAUCACGUAUAUCGACAUAAUAAAGAUUGAAAUCGUAUCCUCCCACGGCCCAGUGCCUCUUAAGUUUUUCAUUUUGAAAAUUCAUUACGCAACACCAUCUCCAGUUUGUUCUGUACCCCUUUUCCAUGUUUGCAGUGAACUUUAACAACCGUUGCAGAGAGCAUUUACACAUCCGGAGAAAGGGGGGGGCAUCUCAGCAGCACUGGGGUAAAACUAGCUGGUCAGCGCUUUGACCGUGUGUGACAUCAUCAUACAUUUACAAGAAGUCAGAGUCUGAAACUUUUUCAAAAGAUGUUUUUUUUUUUUUUUUUUAUUGGGAGAACUACAAAAAAAUGUACAGUACAAAGUUAACAGUCUCACACUCAAUUUGUAGUGAACUGACCCCCCCCCAAAGAAAAGAACACAACUCUCGGUUGUCUUUUUGUCCGUCUUUUUUUUUCUCCAUUUUUUUUUUUCUGUGUGUUACAUUCAAAAAGCUUUACUUCUGAUAAAGUAGUCAAAAGUACAUAGUGCGCAUCCCCCUGUACCUACUAUGUACAAUCCAAAUGUGUCCAUCCAACUUCCCUCUCCAGCAAACUCAACACUAGAUUUCAAUAUUUUAAAAAAACCAAACAAAAACGAGGAAUGGGGACUUUGAGAAAGUUUACAGUUGUGUUUUUUUUUUUUUCUCCUUUCUUUUUUUCCUGUCAGAGUGUCUGGAGUGGUAACAACCUCUAGAAAAAACAAAAAUCCAACACUACAUUCAGUUCCAUCUGGAUUUAUAAAAAGAUGCAAUGUAGGAAAAAUACUUUAUUUGGUUAAUUUUAAGGCAUGUCAAGAUUAUGAACCCCAUAGGCACUACACAAUAAUACUGGGGCACAAGGGAUUGCUACAUUCUUUAGCACGUGGCUGGAAUCACAGUGUGACCUCGUGCAAACAGAAAAUGAAAAAGGAAAAAAAAAAAAAUACUUUUUGGUUAAUUUAUUGACUCGGAUUCUUUGUCACUGAAGUCUGAUCUAGAUCAACGAAAAGAGGAACGAAGGUUUGGACGGUCUAUGACAAACCAUUGUUUAUACAUUCUACAGACACAUCUAAAUAAGGAUCCUCAAAAAAGAAAUUAAAAAAAAAAAAAAAGAAAGCCUUCUACAGCUCUGACACACAACCUCAGGAGCAAACAGCAAUCACGCAAACUUUUAAUAAACGUAAACAAGGAAACAAAAUUAAUGAAAUAAAUAUCACAUACGUUCU